UCCGGUUUGUCACCGGCGGUCUCCUUAGAGUGCCCAACUUAAUGCUGGCAACUAAGGACAAGGGUUGCGCUCGUUGCGGGACUUAACCCAACAUCUCACGACACGAGCUGACGACAGCCAUGCAGCACCUGUGCACGAUCUCCGAAGAGGGGCUCUCGUUUCUGAGAGCUUGCUCGUGCAUGUCAAGCCCAGGUAAGGUUCUUCGCGUUGCCUCGAAUUAAGCAACAUGCUCCACCGCUUGUGUGAGCCCCCGUCAAUUCCUUUGAGUUUCAGCCUUGCGGCCGUACUCCCCAGGCGGGGUACUUAUUGCGUUAGCGACGGCACCGAAGGGGUCGCUCCCCCCGGCGCCUAGUACCCAUCGUUUACGGCGUGGACUAC
rnacentral:misc_RNA from 1 species